rnacentral:rRNA from 1 species
GACGAACGCUGGCGGCGUGCUUAACACAUGCAAGUCGAACGGAGAGGCCCGGCUUUUGUGGGGUGCUCGUGUGGCGAACGGGUGAGUAACACGUGAGUAACCUGCACUUGACUUUGGGGUAACUCCAGGGAACAGGGGCGCAUACCGCAUAGGAGCUCCUGCUGCACGGUGUGGGUUGGAAAGUUUCGGCGGUUGGGGAUGGACUCGCGGCUUAUCAGCUUGUUGGUGAGGUAGUGGCUUACCAAGGCUUUGACGGGUAGCCGGCCUGAGAGGGUGACCGGCCACAUUGGGACUGAGAUACGGCCCAGACUCCUACGGGACGCAGCAGUGGGGAAUAUUGCACAAUGGGCGGAAGCCUGAUGCAGCAACGCCGCGUGCGGGAUGACGGCCUUCGGGUUGUAAACCGCUUUCGCCUGUGACGAAGCGUGAGUGACGGUAAUGGGUAAAGAAGCACCGGCUAACUACGUG